GACGAACGCUGGCGGCGCGCCUAACACAUGCAAGUCGAACGGAGCUUAGAGAGCUUGCUUUUUAAGCUUAGUGGCGAACGGGUGAGUAACGCGUGAGUAACCUGCCCUAGAGUGGGGGACAACAGUUGGAAACGACUGCUAAUACCGCAUAAGCCCACGGUACCGCAUGGCACUGAGGGAAAAGGAUUUAUUCGCUUUAGGAUGGACUCGCGUCCAAUUAGCUAGUUGGUGAGGUAACGGCCCACCAAGGCGACGAUUGGUAGCCGGACUGAGAGGUUGAACGGCCACAUUGGGACUGAGACACGGCCCAGACUCCUACGGGAGGCAGCAGUGGGGGAUAUUGCACAAUGGGGGAAACCCUGAUGCAGCGACGCCGCGUGGAGGAAGAAGGUUUUCGGAUUGUAAACUCCUGUCGUUAGGGACGAUAAUGACGGUACCUAACAAGAAAGCACCG
rnacentral:rRNA from 1 species